rnacentral:rRNA from 1 species
UACGGGGGGGGCAAGCGUUGUUCGGAAUUACUGGGCGUAAAGGGCUCGUAGGUGGCCAACUAAGUCAGACGUGAAAUCCCUCGGCUUAACCGGGGAACUGCGUCUGAUACUGGAUGGCUAGAGAUUGGGAGAGGGAUGCGGAAUUCCAGGUGUAGCGGUGAAAUGCGCAGAUAUCAGGAAGAACACCCGUGGCGAAGGCGGCUCUCUGGGACGGUACUGACGCUGAGACGCGAAAGCGUGGGGAGCGAACAGG